GUGCAGCCGCCGCGGUAAUACGGAGGGUGCAAGCGUUAUCCGGAUUCAUUGGGUUUAAAGGGUGCGCAGGCGGAUACUUAAGUCAGUGGUGAAAUCCCGGGGCUCAACCCCGGAACUGCCAUUGAUACUGAAUAUCUGGAAUACGGUUGAAGUGGGCGGAAUGUAGCAUGUAGCGGUGAAAUGCAUAGAGAUGCUACAGAACACCGAUCGCGAAGGCAGCUCACUAAGCCGAUAUUGACGCUCAGGCACGAAAGCGUAGGGGAGCGAACAGGAUUAGAUACCCUGGUAGUCCACGCCGUAAACGAUGAUAACUCGUUGUUGGCGACACACAGUCAGCGACUAAGCGAAAGCGAUAAGUUAUCCACCUGGGGAGUACGAUCGCAAGGUUGAAACUCAAAGGAAUUGACGG
rnacentral:rRNA from 1 species